rnacentral:ncRNA from 1 species
UACAGAAGUCGCGGGAGCUCGCGCCUUGGCGGGCUGAGAGGGCGGCUGGUGUCCGUUCGGAAGGACCCGGUGCCGCCGACCGCAUGAACCUGACCGGGUAAUGCCGGCGUAGGGAGUGAGUUUUCUUGACGG